UGCCGCGCUGUUUCCCUGGUGU
rnacentral:miRNA from 1 species